AAUACAUAAUGUGGGCAUUUUCUAAGAAUUUCUUUAAAUCUAUCCCAAUUAUCAUAAAGGGAUUCUCCUUCAAAUUGAGAAAAAGAAGUUAUGUAAUUUUGAAGCU